CAACUGGAUCUGAAGCGUAAUGAUGGUCUUCAGAAGGCCUCUCAUGGUGGCCUUGAUUCAGAGGUUUGAGAAGACUACCAAGCACCAGAGCCAGCUAACAGGUGGACCAAACAUCAAGCCAGAAUUCUGCAUGAGUCAGAAUCUUUUGAUAAUAUUGCCCAAUGCAACAAAUGGAAAAAGCAUGCUUUAUGACAACCUCAGCAGCAGAACCCAUGACUUUCUCCUGGGUAGACGAGACAAAAAAGUUUGGUAUCAACACCCAUCUAACAAUUAAGAAAGUUAUCUGCAGCCACACAUCCACUGUAUACCAAGUUAUGAUGAACAAUUAUGAAAAUGCAAAAGGAUUGAUAGAUCAGUAAACAAGCAACAAAAAGAUGGGUGCUCAUGGUGGCCUCCAAAUAAAUACAUGGACAGGCUGCUAAAGAGGGUCAGGAUGAUGGAGAUGCAAGAGCCAAAGACAGCACAGACCAAACACCAGGCCAGAAUUCUGCAUGAGUCAGAUUGAGUAAUUUUCACUCUAGAGACCCUUGGGUGACCACCAAGGACGAAUGCAAACUCCAGUGAGUGUCUCUAAGGUAGAUCCUAAUGCAGAUGGAUGGAAUGUUGAUCCGCCUAACAUGCAAGCUACAGAGGGCAUCCUUUAUUCAGUCCCUAAUGCAGAUGGUUGGAGUGUUGAUCUACCUAACAUGAGGGGUAAAAGAGUGUUUGUUAGCAUAAUGAGAAAGAAAACAGAAACACAUUAUUAGUGGCAUUUAAAAACAUAACACUUGUUUAUACUACAUUUUAUGUUCAAUCCAUAGAGCACUCGUUUUGAGUCCUGAGACCCUGGGGUGACCACCGUGAACAAAUACAGAAGCACUCAAUUUGAGUCCUGAGACCCUGGGGUGACCACCGUGAACAAAUACAGACUGCAAUAGCAGUCUUGACGGUACUAGGAUGAAUGCAAAUAAAGACUAACCACCUGACAUCAGCUGUCCAGUCGGAAGCAGGUGCUUGUUACCCCAAAUACGGAUGAAGAGUGACGAAGAGGAUGAUGACUUUUUGCUCA